AUACGUAGGGGGCGAGCGUUGUCCGGAAUGAUUGGGCGUAAAGGGCGCGUAGGCGGCGCGGUAUGUCUGGAGUGAAAGUCCUGCUUUCAAGGUGGGAAUUGCUUUGGAUACUGCCGCGCUUGAGUGCAGGAGAGGUUAUCGGAAUUCCCGGUGUAGCGGUGAAAUGCGUAGAGAUCGGGAGGAACACCAGUGGCGAAGGCGGGUAACUGGACUGCAACUGACGCUGAGGCGCGAAAGUGUGGGGAGCAAACAGGAUUAGAUACCCUGGUAGUCCACACUGUAAACGAUGAAUGCUAGGUGUAAGAGGUAUCGACCCCUUUUGUGCCGGAGUCAACACAAUAAGCAUUCCGCCUGGGGAGUACGGCCGCAAGGUUGAAACUCAAAUGAAUGGGCGGGG
rnacentral:rRNA from 1 species